UUAGCUUUCGAUACAAGCCUAGUUUCUAUGAGUUCUUUGUUUUACAUUAAAUAUUUUCCCAUUUCUUUAGUUUAACUUUUGCUUAAACUACAAUUUUUUUUUUUUACAGAAUAUGUAUCUCUCUCUCUAGAAAACUCUCUGACUUCUCUCUUAAAAAAAAAGAGGGCAAAACUUAAACCCUAGUUUCUUCCUUGGCGGCGGCCCGAGAUCUGCCUCUCAACUCGGGUCGUCGGCGAGCUUCCGUCAUCAAGGCUUCAUCGGGGCUUCGACGUAGUUCGUUGAAGAAGUUUUCCUACGUUUCCGUCCAGAGUUAAGGGGAAGCGAUGGAAGCUCGUCUCCGAGGAGCGUCGUUUUAGUAGCUAGUGUUCUUAAGAUCCGGCCAUCAUCGACUCGCCAAUUCGUAAACGGAGGUUAAUCAGACCAGAUCAACAACUUGGGGCGCCUUUUUCGAUUUCACCUCAAACGCCGCCGCCGUAAUAACGCCGGUAAAGGUUAUUAGAGGACCAUCUCAGUUGUUUUCACCCAAACUUCACCCUUUGUGGAAAAGGAAAAGGGAAAUGGGAAAGCAUGUGUAUUGUAGGUUUUGGCACGCAUAGUUCAAAGCGGUGCUACCUGCAACAAGAGUCCAACUGCCAAGGGCCAACUCGGAGAGCGAUUACUUUAAGUUUAUCCUUUCAAGUUUUUGAUGUUGAGCAACUAGUGCUGCUCAUGUUGUUAAUGUAGUUCUUGUUCAAGUCUAUAAAGGCCUUGUAGGGUUGUAAGACUAUUUCUUUUAUGUAUGAUUAAGCCUAUGUCAAAAAAAAAAAAAAAACACUACAACCUUUUUCUUUCCCCAAUUAUAUUGCUCCACAACAUAGAUUUUGUGUACGAAUGCAAAUUAUCUUUCAUUCUCUUCCUCGAUUAA